rfam:Felis catus isolate Cinnamon breed Abyssinian chromosome C1, whole genome shotgun sequence.
GCCUGGGUGGCUCCGUCGGUUAAGCGUCUGACUUCAGCUCAGGUCAUGAUCUCAUGGUCCAUGGGUUCAAGCCCCGUGUCGGGCU